rnacentral:rRNA from 1 species
GAUGAACGCUGGCGGCGUGCCUAACACAUGCAAGUCGAGCGAUUCUCUUCGAAGAAGAGCGGCGGACGGGUGAGUAACGCGUGGGUAACCUGCCCUAUACACACGGAUAACGUACCGAAAGGUACGCUAAUACGAGAUAACAUAAGAAAUUCGCAUGGAUUUUUUAUCAAAGCUCUGGCGGUAUAGGAUGGACCCGCGUCUGAUUAGCUAGUUGGUAAGGUAAUGGCUUACCAAGGCGACGAUCAGUAGCCGACCUGAGAGGGUGAUCGGCCACAUUGGAACUGAGACACGGUCCAAACUCCUACGGGAGGCAGCAGUGGGGAAUAUUGCACAAGGGGCGAAAGCCUGAUGCAGCAACGCCGCGUGAGCGAUGAAGGCCUUCGGGUCGUAAAGCUCUGUCCUCAAGGAAGAUAAUGACGGUACUUGAGGAGGAAGCCCCGGCUAACUACGUGCCAGCAGCCGCCGUAA